UCGAUUAACUCUCGUGGUGUGACGGGCGGUGUGUACAAGACCCGGGAACGUAUUCACCGCGGCAUGCUGAUCCGCGAUUACUAGCAAUUCCGACUUCAUGCAGGCGAGUUGCAGCCUGCAAUCCGAACUGAGACCGACUUUGAUAGGAUUGGCUCCACCUCGCGGUUUCGCUUCCCGUUGUAUCGGCCAUUGUAGUACGUGUGUAGCCCAGGUCAUAAGGGGCAUGAUGAUUUGACGUCAUCCCCACCUUCCUCCGGUUUGUCACCGGCAGUCAUCUUAGAGUGCCCACCCANAGGGCUGGCAACUAANAUCAAGGGUUGCGCUCG
rnacentral:rRNA from 1 species